rnacentral:rRNA from 1 species
CAGUAGCCACGGUAAUACGAAGGGGGCUAGCGUUGUUCGGAAUUACUGGGCGUAAAGCGCACGUAGGCGGAUAUUUAAGUCAGGGGUGAAAUCCCAGAGCUCAACUUUGGAACUGCCUUUGAUACUGGGUAUCUUGAGUAUGGAAGAGGUGAGUGGGAUUCCGAGUGUAGAGGUGAAAUUCGUAGAUAUUCGGAGGAACACCAGUGGCGAAGGCGGCUCACUGGUCCAUUACUGACGCUGAGGUGCGAAAGCGUGGGGAGCAAACAGGAUUAGAUACCCCUGUAGUCCCUGUCUCUUAUAC